rnacentral:lncRNA from 1 species
AUACUAAACUAAAAUGGUUUCAUAAGGCCUAAGAUUUAUAUGUUUCCUUCAAGAAAGAGAUCAGAUGGUCUCAAGUUUCUGUAUCCUUCUAACCUUUUUUCCAGAGGCCACCAGGAGCAAGGGACAAGUGCAGAGUGCUUCUAUAGAAUCAGGAGUGUGAGUGCCCAGGAGUGAAUUUGCAACUGCCACCUGGAACCAGCCUGUCCUUGCUGUGCUCACACUACUAUAGUGAGGGGCUAAAUUCCUAUAGCACGUAAACAUUGAGUAAAGGCCUCUUAUUUUGCUUGAACAGGCAGGUGCAGGAGAAAACAUCCCCUAAAAGUCUUCAUUUGUCUUUGAGUGGGUGUCUCUGGUCCUGCCACAAUGGGAGAAACCCUGGAUCUGCUCCAUGACUUCCUUUGAUGGCAUCGUCCGGCACUUGCUAGACCAUUUCAAUCCUCUCACCACCCAGGUUCUACAUCAAGACAGUGCCAGCGUCAAGAUUUCUCUUGGAGUCUUUGGUGAAGGUCACGAGCCCCAGUCUGGAGUCCAAGCCUCAUACAGAUUGCCACUACAACAGAGCCAUCUAUCUGCCUUCAUAGCCUAUCGUGACAAAAAAUCUGUGUUGAGCCUAAAAGAUCACAGAAGCGAUUAG